CCUGGCCCCCAGGCAAGGCUGGUGUCUGUUCUGAGAGGCUCAUGUCUAUGCCUCUGGGGGUGAAGCCUCCUCCUGGGGCUGGGCACUGAUGUCACCCCAAGGCAUGGGAGGGGUGCUGGGGAUUCCAGUCCUGGCCCAGAGGACACCAUGGGGUGUGGGAGCAAGAACCCAGCAGUGUGUAGCCAGGCCUGAGUGAGGGGGUGUGCCUGCCUGGAUGCUUCCCUCCUCCUUCCCAUGCAUCUAACCCUCUGACCCUCCACCUAUCAGCAUCAGCCCCGCCCCAGCCACGAACAAGUGAGUUCUUCCAAGGAGCUCCAUGGUCUCAGCUCGGAAGUGGCCCGCUCGCCCGCCCUGGCCAGAGAAGAGCGGCUUUCGUGCCGGCCCUCCCACUGCCCAGCUUCUGGCCCAGGGCCAUGGCGCCCUGUUAUCUCCGGCUUUGUUCUGUCACCUUUUGUUACAAAACCUUGGAAGUUCUGCGAAUCGGCUCGCCGGUUAUCACGCUUCCCACAACCGACUGCCUGAGCCCCGGGGCCUGAACCGCAAGGCGACCGCAGUGCAUCAGUGACUUCUGCUCUGGGCCCAGCCUGGGCGGGCGAGGGGGGCGGGUGGUGGCGGGGUGCGGCAUGGCCCUUCCCCUCUGCUCCCCCUCGGCCUCCAGCUGGGCUCUCCCCACGCUUCCCUUUCUGUCAUGUCUUCUGAAUCUAAGAAACUGAAGUGAAGCCAGACAAGUCCUGGUGAGCCACUGCGGCUGAUCCGACGUGGGGAGGAGCGCUGAGCAGGCCCCCGGGUGGGGGAGGGGACAGGACCGGCUGCCCACUGAAUCAACCUGUUCUUCCCACGGAGCUCCCCCUCUGGCUUCCAGAAAAAGCUUUAACCAAGGGGCCUCUCAGGAGGGCAGAGGCUGAGGUGUGUGUGCGUGCUUGUGUGUAGAGAGAGAAAGUAUAUGUGCGCUGAGGAGAGAAAGCCCGUAUGACACAGAAGAAUUUAUAUGAGAGAGAAGAUGUGACCAUUAGCCUAGGUUUUUCUCCUCCUCCUCUGAUCUUCUUCCCAGUGACUGUCAUAGAAACUGCUUGAUAGUAACUGCUUGCGUGUGCGCUCAGUUGCUUCAGUUGUGUCUGAUUCUUUGUGACCCUAUGGGCCAUAGCCCACCAGGCUCCUCUGUCCAUGGGAUUCUCCAGGCAAGAAUAUUGGAAUGGGUUGUCGUGUCCUCCUCUGCGGGAUUUUUCUGACACAGGGAUUGAACCUGCGUCUCAUGUCUCCUGCCUUGGCAGGCGGGUUCUUUACCACUAGCACCACCUGGGAAGCCCAGUAACUGCUUAGGACAAGUUAAUUGAGCAAAUAGGGCUUCUCAGGUGAUGCUAGUGGUAAAGAACAUGUCUGCCAGUGCUGGAGACAUAAGAGAUGCGAGUUUGAUCCCUGUGUGGGGAAGAUCUCCUCGAGGAAGCCACAGCGAUCACUC